UGCCAGCCUGCUGGAUGGCAUUGCCCACACUCGGCACGCGUCUCCCUCAUUUCCCAGUCACCAGCCCGCCUGCCAAUUGUCUGUGGAAGUAGCUACAGAGAUGCGGAUUUUGUGGAGAUCUCUGCCUCCCAGACAGCAGGAACUUCAGAGGCACCCAGGGAUGCUGGAGGCUGGUGGCCCAGAGGCAGAGAGGGGACAGAGGCUAGCUGCACCUCUACUGGCUGUCCCUUCUGGCUGUCUCCAUGACUGACCUCAGGAGACCCUUGGGAGGAGGAUGUGGGAGACUGAACUGUGCAGGAGAACGGAGUGUCACUACAGUUGGUGGCAGUGUGGAAGCCACGAGCACCUGGUGGGGGCGUGGUCCAGGUAACAGCCUGGACCCAAACCCUCAGCCAGCUUCAGCAGCAUCAAAGCGGUCCAGUCAGCUCCCUCUCCCUCUUGGCUCCCCCAGGCAUCGACGGUCUGCAGGAGGAGACACAGGAAUGCGUCGUCUCCCUCCUCCCUGUCACCAUUCUCUGCACCACAUCUCCCAGUAAUAAAGAACAUCCUCCUGUGGCAUCCGUACCCCUCCCAACAGUUUAGGACCAUUAUAUUAAAUAAUGAUAAUCACAA